GUCUGCGGCCACGCCACCCUGAACGUGUCCGAUCCCUUCUGAUUUCGGAAGCUAAGCAGGGUUGGGCCUGGUUAGUACUUGGAUGGGAGACACCACCUAGGAAGACCAGGUGCUAUAGGCA
rnacentral:rRNA from 1 species